CGGCAGCCGCGCCCGAGGGGGGAACGGGCGGGGAGAGACGGGCAGAGCGAAAGGCUGGGAUGGAAGAAAGGACAACCUUCAGAUUUCUUCACUUUCACAAGAAAUUUGAUGUUAACUCGUUGUUCGCUCUUACAGACAGCCAUUUUCCAACUAAGGCCGCAACAAUAGUUUCUAGCCUCUGGCAAGGAAAACAGAUGAGCAAAUAUUCUCUGUCUUGGAAGCUAAAUGCACCACCCCAGCGGCAGGCCUCUCCAGCUUUCCAGCUACCAUGAGCCCUGAGCCUACUCUUAAAUUGCUUUAUUCCUUUUGUUGACAUCUUCUCAAACCACAGUGAAAUUUUCAUUGACAAUAUCUCCAGGGACACCAUUUUAAUAUCUUCUGACAGUGAGGACCUGCCCUCUAACCAUCUGGGUCAUUGAUGAUCCUUCAUGUACAGAUUUUUGUGAGCAUCGAUUCUGAUGGCCUUCAUGACUUAUAACAAAGAAUGUUUAUUCUGCUGGCACAUGAAUGCACCCUCAGCUGAAUUUGAAUAGAACUACUGCAAUAAUCAGUGAUUCCGCUUGAAUGAAAAAUCAUAUACCCUGACUCUCUGCAUGGUUGUGUUGAGGAAUGUCUCUCAGGCAGACCUGACUCCUACUUUUCCUAAUUAAAAGUGAUAACAACUGUUUUAUUGGAUCUAAAUUACACUUUUAUUUGACAAACUUAAUUUUAAGUGUGACCUAUCAACUUAAUGACAUUUUGAGGCUGGGCACAACUAUACAUAAAUUAGAAGAGAGUGAGAGGCUUUGCAAUAAAGAGGUAAAUGAAAAGAGGAAGAAAAAAAUCAAAAUACAAACGAAGGGUGAAAACACAUCAAAAUAUUGCAGCUAAUGAUGUCUGUAGUUUGGAAUGUAAUCAGAGCUAACUCUUCAGAACAUCGCUUACCAGGCUAAUGGCUAAAAUCAAAUAUAUGGAACUUUGAAGUUUCUGAUAGGUGGGAUUUGAUUUCUGAAUUAUAAAUGCCAGAAGUUUUAAAAUUGAAUUUGCAGAUAAAGAAUAAAAAGCUUGCCUUAGCUGUUAGGAUUCUGUCAAGAAGGAUAUCUCCCUUUUUCAUUUGCUUUUCAACCAUAAUCCUUUCAGCACUUUAAGCAGACAGAUGAGCACCCUCAUCAACAUUGUCCAGAUGACAGAUUUACUGAGAUCAUGCUACAAACCUGACAGAUAUUUGAAGUGACACCUAAGAACCUGAUAACAUUACAUCCCAUGAGGGACAGAGAUACUUUUUAGGUAGUGGUAUCCAUCACAGCUUCUCAGGAACAGAGGACCAGGUCAUCAUCUGCCCUUGUGUUAAGUCUGUGGUAAGGAUUCUGCCUACUAGAGUCAAAAUAUCCCUGAUAGCACAAAGGCCCUCCACAGAUGAAAGGAAGACAUAAGACGGUGAUAAAUGUCGGGGGAAAUUGUUGGGAAAAUAUAUGUUGCUGCUAUAUCAAAAUCCUAGGCUGAGUUUUUCUUCCGGAAAUGCAGAAUCAUUGGAAGUAGUCAUGGAAACAUUUCAAUACAUUCUCUGCUUCAAAGCAAUCUUAGAGAAAAAAUGUUGAAAAUGAUCCUACUGUGACAUUUCAAUGUAUUUUUUUAAGUUUGAAGGAAAAAUGAUCCUUUUUUUUUCAUUUCUUCUGCAAAAAGUAGCCUCGUGCAAGAUUAAAAAAACUACAGGAAAUUAGAAAUUGUCUAAAUGAAAUUUUUCAAGGACUCUAGCUGUAAUUUUGAGUGUGGUUGUAUUCAGUUUGUUAAAAGCUUUUGGCUUUUGAUUUACUACUUUGAAAUGUGAAGAGGAAAAAUGCUUACAUUUCUAAAUCACUGAAAUGCGACAGCCCAUGUCAGACUGUAUGAAUAGGUUGACAUGAUAAUAAGCACUCAAAUUGUUGUGUUUCAACAAGCGAACUUUAGCUGGAAGAGCUGUGACCUCUGGCUGUGUAUGUACUGUCAUGCUUUUCACUUGAAGUGAUUCCAAUAAAAGUUAUGCAUUGUCUUUGCCGUAAAUGAUGGGAUUUUGAUUGUAUGAAAAGUACCUUUGGAAGUAUAGAGACACAUCUUGAGGAGCACUGGAAGAGAGCAUUAUGGUUUUAUUUCUCCAGAAGAAAUAAUUUUUCCAGGUACACAUUGAUACUCUAACAUGGUUAGUGCAUCUCUGAAGAUUUUCACAGAAUCGUGGAACAGCUGAAGUUGGAAAGCAUCUAUAGUAAUUGUCUAGUCCAAUCUUCCAGCUCAUGCAGGGUCACCUAGAGUAGGCUCUUCAGGACUGUUUCCAGUAGGGUUUGGAAUAUCUAAAAGGAGACUCCACAACCUCUCUGUGCCAGUGCUCAGUCACUCUGACAGUAAAAGCGUGCUUCUUGCAUUCAGGUGGAAUUUCAUAUAUUUCAGUUUGUGCUUAUUGCCUCUUGUCUUGAAGAAAUAGGACAGGCUGAGAGAGCUGGGAUUGUUCAGCCUGGAGAAGAGAAGGCUCUGAGAAGACCUUACAGCAACCUCCCAGUACCUGAAGGGGGCCUACAGAAAAGCUGAGGAGGGACUGUUUACAAAGGCUUGUAGUGACAGGACUAGGAGCAAUGAGUGUAAACAGGAGAGGGGCGAAUUUAGACUAGUCAUAAGGAGGAAUUUCUUCACAGUGAGAGUGGUGAGGCACUGGCACAGGUUGCCCAGGGAAGCUGUGGAUGCCCCAUCCCUGGAGGUGUUCAAGGCCAGGUUGGGUGGGGCGUUGGGCAGCCUGGUCUGGUGGGAGGUGUCCCUGCCCAUGGCAGGGGUGUUGGAAUUGGAUGAUCUUUAAGGUCCCUUCCAACCUAAACUAUUCUAUGGUUCUAUGAUUCUAUGCAAUAACCUUAUAGUGACCUUUUAACAGUAUAGUGAUAACAGAUCGAUAUAAUACAUAUAUCUCUUGGGAAGUAUCAACUUUCUAUAGUUUCUGUCAAUGAUCAAGUUUACCGUAUUUUUCUGGUAGGUUGAAACUGUACAGUCACAAAUAGUGAAAUGAGUGAAAAUAUUCUGGGAAUUAUUUGUCAUCAGACAAGAGAAAAGCUUCAUAUCACCUAAUUAUUAUCUUAAACUUUGAGCUUAUGUGGGAAGGAUUUGUAAAUUCAGACAAGCAAAAUAAUUGUAUUCCUACUAUGAUCUGGAAGUAGUAAUUAAGUUAUUUCGAAAACAAAAAAGGAAUGACUCACUGAAAGUGACACAUGGAGCCCUUACAGGCUUGAGUUGUUUCUCCUUUAGUCAGAACACGUGUUCUCAGUCAAUUGUAUAAAAAUAGUAAG